rnacentral:rRNA from 1 species
UACGGGGGGAGCAAGCGUUGUUCGGAUUUACUGGGCGUAAAGGGCGCGUAGGCGGUCAGCACAAGUCAGUUGUGAAAUCUCUGGGCUUAACUCGGAAAGGUCAACUGAUACUGUGCGACUAGAGUGCGGAAGGGGCAACUGGAAUUCUCGGUGUAGCGGUGAAAUGCGUAGAUAUCGAGAGGAACACCUGCGGCGAAGGCGGGUUGCUGGGCCGACACUGACGCUGAUGCGCGAAAGCCAGGGGAGCGAACGGG